CCAUUUUGAACAAAUUACUCAUCUCGUUUUGUACGCCAAUAUUAAAAAAAUUGUGAAAUAACAUUUACUUGUGAUUGAAGAGGCGGGACUUCUCUGAUCAAAAGAGAGGCGUGCCUUUAGAGAACACAGCGUUACUUUUGAGAAAGAGAGAGAGAGGCAAAGAGAGAAAUCAAGGCCUUGGAUCUUCGAUCUCCAUUGAUUCUUCGGUUGUAUAAUCUGGAAAUGCUUGUUCUGCACUUGAUUUGAGCAUUUGUCUGUGAUAUCGUUUGAAUCCCUCUUAUGUAAGUCGAUCUAGGGCUCAAGGGUUUUGAGUGCCGUGUUAAUGUCUCUGAUCACGUACAGAAUAGCAAGUAGCGUUGGAUCUGGAUCGUUACCAACAGUAAGUCGAAGCAAGCUCAACGACGUAGAGAUGUAGAUCUUAUUCUCAGAUCUGCUCUCUAUCCAAUCAGAUCUGCUCUCUUUGUCUCUCUGAUCUGCUAUUAUGAACCAUUCAACUACGAGGCAGGAAAACGACACGAAGAACUGCCCAUAUUACAUCUCAAUCCUUAUAGCUGGUCCAAGGUU